rnacentral:rRNA from 1 species
UACGUAGGGUGCGAGCGUUGUCCGGAAUUACUGGGCGUAAAGAGCUCGUAGGUGGUUUGUCGCGUUGUUCGUGAAAUCUCACGGCUUAACUGUGAGCGUGCGGGCGAUACGGGCAGACUUGAGUACUGCAGGGGAGACUGGAAUUCCUGGUGUAGCGGUGGAAUGCGCAGAUAUCAGGAGGAACACCGAUGGCGAAGGCAGUGGUCUGGGCCGGAACUGACGCUGAAUAGCGAAAGCGUGGGGAGCGAACAGG